AGCAGUCGCCACGGGAAUACGUAGGGGGCUAGCGUUGCUCGGAAUGACUGGGCGUAAAGGGCGCGUAGGCGGCGAUCAAAGUCAGGCGCGAAAUUCCUGGGCUCAACCUGGGGGCUGCGCUUGAUACUUGAUUGCUAGAGUGGGGAAGAGGGUCGUGGAAUUCCCAGUGUAGAGGUGAAAUUCGUAGAUAUUGGGAAGAACACCGGUGGCGAAGGCGGCGACCUGGUCCUUGACUGACGCUGAGGCGCGAAAGCGUGGGGAGCAAACAAGAUUAGAUACCCCCGUAGUCCCUGUCUCUUAUAC
rnacentral:rRNA from 1 species